GACAGAGGGUGCAAACGUUGCUCGGAAUCACUGGGCGUAAAGGGCGUGUAGGCGGGUAGGAAAGUCAGAUGUGAAAUCCCUGGGCUCAACCCAGGAACUGCAUUUGAAACUCCCUUUCUUGAGUGUCGGAGAGGAGAGCGGAAUUCCUGGUGUAGAGGUGAAAUUCGUAGAUAUCAGGAGGAACACCGGUGGCGAAGGCGGCUCUCUGGACGAUAACUGACGCUGAGACGCGAAAGCGUGGGGAGCAAACAGG
rnacentral:rRNA from 1 species